rnacentral:rRNA from 1 species
CACGUAGGCACCAAGCGUUCUCCGGAUUUAUUGGGCGUAAAUAGCUCGUAGGCGGUUCGGUAAGUCGGGUGUGAAAACUCUGGGCUCAACCCAGAGAGGCCACCCGAUACUGCUGUGACUAGAGUGCGGUAGGGGAGCGGGGAAUUCCUGGUGUAGCGGUGAAAUGCGCAGAUAUCAGGAGGAACACCAGCGGCGAAGGCGCCGCUCUGGGCCGUAACUGACGCUGAGGAGCGAAAGCAUGGGUAGCAAACAGG